UGAAAACUCUUUCCGUAUAGGCCAGAAAACAGCUUGCUUAGAGAAAGACUGACUCUCCUACGGACCUGGUGGACCUUACACAGUCGAGUUAUUGCAUCCCUCUCACAAACUAUCAAUUUCAUAAGAGAAGAAAGAUCGUUUUUAGAAAAGAAAGAACGUUUUGAUUCGAGGCGGAUCCCUUUUUUCUUUGCCUUUACGAGUUGAAAAGAAAGUGGUAACAGGUAGUAGCUCUGGUAGAGUGCAGGACUGUAAAUCCUUCUGUGAGCGGUUCGAAUCCGCAAUCACUUAUAGUUAGUUUCAUCGAUAUUUUUGUGGUGUUCAGUGUACCCUGAGUACAAGAUCGAAGAGGAUCCUCAUUCCCUCUUUAGUCAAUCCCAAUCGAAAAAUCAGCGGAGCCAAUGGCUUGAUCAUAAUGCUGCGGCGGGGUCAGAGAGCCGGCAAACCGUUUCUGGUUCUAGUAGAAAGGGAUUUACUGAUUCGGGUUGAGGAUGACGAGCAAAAGAGUGGAGGAAAAGCUGUUAUAUAGUUAGUCUAUUUCUAUCUUCCUAUCUUUGUCAUGUCAGUCUUAUUCCUAUCUUGGUAU
rnacentral:sRNA from 1 species